CCUACGGGGGGCAGCAGUGAGGAAUAUUGGUCAAUGGACGAGAGUCUGAACCAGCCAAGUAGCGUGAAGGAUGACUACCCUAUGGGUUGUAAACUUCUUUUAUAUGGGAAUAAAAUGUUCCACGUGUGGGAUUUUGUAUGUACCAUAUGAAUAAGGAUCGGCUAACUCCGUGCCAGCAGCCGCGGUAAUACGGAGGAUCCGAGCGUUAUCCGGAUUUAUUGGGUUUAAAGGGAGCGUAGGUGGAUUGUUAAGUCAGUUGUGAAAGUUUGCGGCUCAACCGUAAAAUUGCAGUUGAAACUGGCAGUCUUGAGUACAGUAGAGGUGGGCGGAAUGCGUGGUGUAGCGGUGAAAUGCUUAGAUAUCACGAAGAACUCCGAUUGCGAAGGCAGUUCACUGGACUGCAACUGACACUGAGGCUCGAAAGUGUGGGUAUCAAACAGGAUUAGAUACCCCUGUAGUC
rnacentral:rRNA from 1 species